CUUAGAGAGCUUGCUUUUUAAGCUUAGUGGCGAACGGGUGAGUAACGCGUGAGUAACCUGCCCUGGAGUGGGGGACAACAGUUGGAAACGGCUGCUAAUACCGCAUAAGCGCACAGUACCGCAUGGUACAGUGUGAAAAACUCCGGUGGUGUGAGAUGGACCCGCGUCUGAUUAGCUAGUUGGCAGGGCAACGGCCUACCAAGGCGACGAUCAGUAGCCGACCUGAGAGGUUGAACGGCCACAUUGGGACUGAGACACGGCCCAGACUCC
rnacentral:rRNA from 1 species